rnacentral:rRNA from 1 species
GACGAACGCUGGCGGCGUGCUUAACACAUGCAAGUCGAACGGAAAGGCCCUGCUUUUGUGGGGUGCUCGAGUGGCGAACGGGUGAGUAACACGUGAGUAACCUGCCCUUGACUUUGGGAUAACUUCAGGAAACUGGGGCUAAUACCGGAUAGGAGCACCUGCUGCAUGGUGGGGGUUGGAAAGUUUCGGCGGUUGGGGAUGGACUCGCGGCUUAUCAGCUUGGUGGUGGGGUAGUGGCUUACCAAGGCUUUGACGGGUAGCCGGCCUGAGAGGGUGACCGGCCACAUUGGGACUGAGAUACGGCCCAGACUCCUACGGGAGGCAGCAGUGGGGAAUAGUGCACAAUGGGCGGAAGCCUGAUGCAGCAACGCCGCGUGCGGGAUGACGGCCUGCGGUUUGUAAACCGCUUGCGCCUGUGACGAAGCGUGAGUGACGGUAAUGGGUAAAGAAGCACCGGCUAACUACGUG